rnacentral:misc_RNA from 1 species
CAACCCUCAAGCUCUGCUUGGUGUUGGAGCCCUACGGCUGCCGUAGGCUCCGAAAGUUAGUGGCGGGCUCGCUAAGUCUCCGAGCGUAGUAGAAUCCUAUCUCGCUAGGGACGGCUUGGCGGGCUCUGGCCGUUAAACACCCCCUUAUACCAAA